CACUAUGCUUAGCCCUAAACAAAAAUAACUUAUUAUUCGCCAGGGUACAACGAGCCUUUAAUUUACAGCUUAAAACCCAAAGGACUUGGCGGUGCUUUAUUCCAACUAGAGGAGCCUGUUUUAAAAUCGAUAACCCCCGAUCAACCUCACCUUCUUUCGCCCUCAGCUUAUAUACCACCGUCACCAGCUUACCCUACGAGGGACUACAAAAGUAAGUACAAUCAAUGAUCCCCCCUAUGUCAGGUCAAGGUGUAGCCAACAAGAAGGUUAAAAUGGGCUACAUUUUCUGACCCAGAAUAUAAACGGAACACAUACUUAAAACCUGUGUGAAGGAGGAUUUAGCAGUAAGAUUAGAGCAGAGUGCUAACCUGAAAUCGGUCCUAAAGCGCGUACACACCGCCCGUCAUCCUCCUUAAUCAAUCCCGCAGUCUAUAAAAAAUACGCCGCACAAUAACCACCCAAGGAGGCAAGUCGUAA
rnacentral:rRNA from 1 species